rnacentral:rRNA from 1 species
AGUGAACGCUGGCGGUAGGCCUAACGCAUGCAAGUCGAACGGCAGCACAGUAAGAGCUUGCUCUUACGGGUGGCGGGUGGCGGACGGGUGAGGAAUACAUCGGAAUCUACUUUUUCGUGGGGGAUAACGUAGGGAAACUUACGCUAAUACCGCAUACGACCUACGGGUGAAAGCAGGGGAUCUUCGGACCUUGCGCGAUUGAAUGAGCCGAUGUCGGAUUAGCUAGUUGGCGGGGUAAAGGCCCACCAAGGCGACGAUCCGUAGCUGGUCUGAGAGGAUGAUCAGCCACACUGGAACUGAGACACGGUCCAGACUCCUACGGGAGGCAGCAGUGGGGAAUAUUGGACAAUGGGCGCAAGCCUGAUCCAGCCAUACCGCGUGGGUGAAGAAGGCCUUCGGGUUGUAAAGCCCUUUUGUUGGGAAAGAAAAGCAGCAGGUUAAUACCCCGCUGUUCUGACGGUACCCAAAGAAUAAGCACCGGCUAACUUCGUG